rnacentral:rRNA from 1 species
AGAGUUUGAUCCUGGCUCAGAUUGAACGCUGGCGGCAUGCCUUACACAUGCAAGUCGAACGGUAACAGGUCUUCGGAUGCUGACGAGUGGCGAACGGGUGAGUAAUAUAUCGGAACGUGCCCAGUCGUGGGGGAUAACGCAGCGAAAGCUGUGCUAAUACCGCAUACGAUCUAUGGAUGAAAGCGGGGGAUCGCAAGACCUCGCGCGAUUGGAGCGGCCGAUAUCAGAUUAGGUAGUUGGUGGGGUAAAGGCCCACCAAGCCAACGAUCUGUAGCUGGUCUGAGAGGACGACCAGCCACACGGGAACUGAGACACGGUCCAGACUCCUACGGGAGGCAGCAGUGGGGAAUUUUGGACAAUGGGCGCAAGCCUGAUCCAGCAAUGCCGCGUGCAGGAUGAAGGCCUUCGGGUUGUAAACUGCUUUUGUACGGAACGAAAAGGCUCUGGUUAAUACCUGGGGCUCAUGACGGUACCGUAAGAAUAAGCACCGGCUAACUACGUGCCAGCAGCCGCGGUAAUACGUAGGGUGCAAGCGUUAAUCGGAAUUACUGGGCGUAAAGCGUGCGCAGGCGGUUAUAUAAGUCAGAUGUGAAAUCCCCGGGCUCAACCUGGGACCUGCAUUUG